rnacentral:snRNA from 1 species
AUCGCUUCUCGGCCCUUUUGGCUAAGAAUCAAGUGUAGUAUCUGUUCUUAUCAGUUUAAUAUCUGAUACGUCCCCUACCCGGGGACCAUAUAUUAAAUUGAUUUUUGGAUCAGGGAGCCGGAACGGGGGCUUGCUCCUUCCACUCCAACGCAUCGACCGCGGUAUUGCAUUACCGUCCAGGUACGGUGCACAUUCU